GGGGAAUCUUGCGCAAUGGGGGGAACCCUGACGCAGCGACGCCGCGUGCGGGACGGAGGCCUUCGGGUCGUAAACCGCUUUCAGCAGGGAAGAGUCAAGACUGUACCUGCAGAAGAAGCCCCGGCUAACUACGUGCCAGCAGCCGCGGUAAUACGUAGGGGGCGAGCGUUAUCCGGAUUCAUUGGGCGUAAAGCGCGCGUAGGCGGCCCGGCAGGCCGGGGGCCGAAGCGGGGGGCUCAACCCCCCGAAGCCCCCGGAACCUCCGCGGCUUGGGUCCGGUAGGGGAGGGUGGAACACCCGGUGUAGCGGUGGAAUGCGCAGAUAUCGGGUGGAACACCGGUGGCGAAGGCGAUCUGCUGGGCUUUAACUGACGCUGAGGCACGAAAGCAUGGGUAGCAAAC
rnacentral:rRNA from 1 species